rnacentral:sRNA from 1 species
GAGUGGUGGCCGAAGCAGGGGUACAGCAAGGGACGCUCAGGCGGGGACCAUGGCGGACGGCGGCUCGGAGCGGGCUGACGGGCGCAUCGUCAAGAUGGAGGUGGACUACAGCGCCACGGUGGAUCAGCGCCUACCCGAGUGUGCGAAGCUAGCCAAGGAAGGAAGACUUCAAGAAGUCAUUGAAACCCUUCUCUCUCUGGAAAAGCAGACUCGUACUGCUUCCGAUAUGGUGUCUACAUCCCGUAUCUUAGUUGCAGUAGUGAAGAUGUGCUAUGAGGCUAAAGAAUGGGAUUUACUUAAUGAAAAUAUUAUGCUUUUGUCCAAAAGGCGGAGUCAGUUAAAACAAGCUGUUGCCAAAAUGGUUCAACAGUGCUGUACUUAUGUUGAGGAAAUCACAGACCUUCCUAUCAAACUUCGAUUAAUUGAUACUCUACGAAUGGUUACCGAAGGCAAGAUUUAUGUUGAAAUUGAGCGUGCGCGACUGACUAAAACAUUAGCAACUAUAAAAGAACAAAAUGGUGAUGUGAAAGAGGCAGCCUCCAUUUUACAGGAGUUACAGGUGGAAACCUACGGGUCAAUGGAAAAGAAAGAGCGAGUGGAAUUUAUUUUGGAGCAAAUGAGGCUCUGCCUAGCUGUGAAGGAUUACAUUCGAACACAAAUCAUCAGCAAGAAAAUUAACACCAAAUUUUUCCAGGAAGAAAAUACAGAGAAAUUAAAGUUGAAGUACUAUAAUUUAAUGAUUCAGCUGGAUCAACAUGAGGGAUCCUAUUUGUCUAUUUGUAAGCACUACAGAGCAAUAUAUGAUACUCCCUGUAUACAGGCAGAAAGUGAAAAAUGGCAGCAGGCUCUGAAGAGUGUUGUACUCUAUGUUAUCCUGGCUCCUUUUGACAAUGAACAGUCAGAUUUGGUUCACCGAAUAAGUGGUGACAAGAAGUUAGAAGAAAUUCCCAAAUACAAGUAAGUACUUUUGAAAUUAGCAUGAUAUAUCUCAGUCGAAACACCAUUUUGAAAGAAAAUUGGCUAACCUAAGUGUAUACUUCUGUGUAUACUUCUUUUUUUGAGAUGGAGUUUUACUAUUGUUGCCCACACU